rnacentral:misc_RNA from 1 species
GCGAAACAGUCAUUGCGAGAACGAGAGAACGGACAGAUAGUACUAGUCGUGGGGACGUAGGGGGACGAGGGCGGGGGCAAGAGGGAGGGUAUUACGAACAGGUACCGUGAGUGCGUGGAGUGUGCUUGACUGGGGCUAGGGAGGCAGAGAGGACAGUGAGAGAGACAGAGUGAACAGUACAUAUAAAAGAGGACAGAAGGCAGGAUACGACGGUGACGAGGACGACAAGCCGGGUGGAGGGGCGCGGGAGGGGGAGGGGGAUGGACGACUAGGAUGAAGGGAACAACUGAACAAGAAGGGGUGAAGACUAGGGCGGCGAGGA